rnacentral:miRNA from 1 species
UUACUUUAGAUGUCUCCUUCA